rnacentral:ribozyme from 14 species
GAUUGAAAAAAUGAACAGAUAAAGGAAGACUACAAAAUAAUAUUAAUGAUGAUAUAUUAUAUGCUUUCUUCUUAUUAUGCACUGUGGAUGUUAUUAUUUCUUCCUUUAUAAUUAAUUAUUUCGUUAU